rnacentral:lncRNA from 1 species
AUUUUACUUCAGAUCCAUGUCUAGACUUGAGGUUCAGCUUGUUAAAAUAAAUCAGUCUUAAGUCAGUCUUUAUAGUCUACACUAUAAAAAUACUGAUUUAUUCAUUCACUGUUCCAGAAGGAUGUGUGUGAAAAACAGAAUAUGUAUUUAAUAGAAUCUGGGUAUAUCAAUCUUUCAAAUAUAAAUAGAAAACAAAAAUGUCUCGUUUAUAUUCCUAGAUUAAAUCUUCAGUAAAAUGGACUCCAAGUUGAGAGGAUGUACCAGUAAGCUAAGGAGAAAUGCUUUACAGGAAUGCUUCAAUUCCUCUGGAAAGAGAAGGUAUGGGACUGUUUUUUUUCUUUAACACAUGACUUUGUUGUGGAACACCAAAGAAGCAUAACAUCUAAUCCAAGCAACAACUCUGAUAUCAUCGUCAUUCAUUUAACUCUUCAUGUUCACUUCUUUUGAGUCUAAAUAUCAUUAAUAAUGGCAACAAUCAUUCUACUGGGGUACUUCUCGUAGUAGAAUAUAAUAAUCUUGCACAAACUUUUAAUAAAGACUACAAAUAUAUACA